CUUCCCGCUGCCCUGGAAGCAGAUCGCGGCCUGGAGGGCGGUCGGGGCCGCCGCGAUUUGACUGCUGCAUGCGUCCCCAGGCCCGUUUUCUCGGGUCUCCGUCCUCAUAUCCCCCGCCCUUCCCCCUCGGGAGGGCGGAGGAAGGCCUUUGUAGAGGCCCGGGGUGCCCGAGGCUGCGCCCGGGACCGGCGCGGGGGGCGUUCUUCGUUUUCUUUUUUCUAAGCUUUUAAGAGGAAGCUGCCCUUGACUUGGAAGCUCUCUCUUCUGCUUUGAGCUUAGCGGAGGACUUGAUGGUGGCCCCUGGGCUACUUCAGUGUGGAGUCAGCUCCAGCAUUUUGAGUCCCAUGGAGGUUGAUGUGAGGUAGAGACAGCUGCAAGUGACUGCUUAGGACUAGUUCUAGACUUGGAAAAGAGAGAAAAGAGCCUUGUUAUUUCUGUGGAGCCCAGCCCUUCUGACCAGAGUCCUCCAUUCUGGAAGGCACAGCAGUAUGCCUGCCUCAAAGUUGACAGCUGGCCACGUGGCUAAAUCGAGCCAAUGAGAUAUGAGUGGAAUCUUCCAGGAAAGCUCUCUGAAGAGGCUUCCUUUUUUCUGCUUUCUGGAAUGUGGACAUGAUGGCUGGAAUUCAAGCAUGUAUGAGUACCAGGUGACCUUGAAGAUGGAAGCCGUGAACUAAGAUAAUGUCCCUGUACUCUUCUUUUACCUGAGAGAAAUAAACUCUGUUGUAUAAGCCAGUG